ensembl:misc_RNA Metazoa_SRP Metazoan signal recognition particle RNA
GCCAGGCAUGGUGGCGUGCACCUGUAAUCCCAGCUACUUAGGAGGCUGAGGCAGGAGAAUUGCUUGAGCCCAGGAGGCAGAGGUUGCAGUGAGCCAAGAUCUUGCCACUGCACUCCAGCCUGGGCGACAGAGCAAGACUCUGUCUCAA